rnacentral:rRNA from 1 species
GGUGAGUAACACGUGGGUAACCUGCCCAUAAGACUGGGAUAACUCCGGGAAACCGGGGCUAAUACCGGAUAAUAUUUUGAACCGCAUGGUUCGAAAUUGAAAGGCGGCUUCGGCUGUCACUUAUGGAUGGACCCGCGUCGCAUUAGCUAGUUGGUGAGGUAACGGCUCACCAAGGCAACGAUGCGUAGCCGACCUGAGAGGGUGAUCGGCCACACUGGGACUGAGACACGGCCCAGACUCCUACGGGAGGCAGCAGUAGGGAAUCUUCCGCAAUGGACGAAAGUCUGACGGAGCAACGCCGCGUGAGUGAUGAAGGCUUUCGGGUCGUAAAACUCUGUUGUUAGGGAAGAACAAGUGCUAGUUGAAUAAGCUGGCAUCUUGACGGUACCUAACCAGAAAGCCACGGCUAACUACGUGCCAGCAGC